GUGAAUCAUCGAAUUUUUGAACGCAAAUUGCACUCUCUGGUAUUCCGGAGAGUAUGCCUGUUUGAGGGUCAGAUUAAAUAAAAAUCGGUGUGGUUGCUGCUUUCCGUUGUGACGCACCGGAUGUGGGUCGUCUUGCCUUCGGUUAAGCGACCUAAAAUUUUGCUUGAUUUUUUCGGACGGAUUUAAAUGAUUUUAUGUUCGUUCGCGUUAU
rnacentral:misc_RNA from 1 species